UAGAGGGACCAUUAAGAAACAUGAUCCAUGCUGCUGCUGGGUUGAGCCUGGGGUGGGAGGGAACCCUUUACCCAACACAGGGCCAGUGUGACAUCUAGGGUGCCACAGUUUACCUUCCCCAGGUUUCCCCAGCAAGGAGGCAGCUCAAGGGCAAAAAGCAAGAAAACAGCAAGAAAGUCCGCUAGAAAGAAGGCCCCUACAAAAAAGUCCGCUAGAAAGAAGGCCCCUACAAAAAAGUCCGCUAGAAAGAAGGCCCCUACAAAAAAGUCCGCUAGAAAGAUGGCCCCUACAAUAAAGUCCGCUUGAGAGAAGGCCCCUACAAAAAAGUCCGCUAGAAAGAAGGCCCCUACAAAAAAGUCCGCUAGAGAGAAGGCCCCUACAAAAAAGUCCGCUAGAAAGAAGGCCCCUACAAAAAAGUCCGCUUGAGAGAAGGCCCCUACAAAAAAGUCCGCUUGAGAGAAGGCCCCUACAAAAAAGUCCGCUACAAAGAAGGCCCUUACAAAAAAGUCCGCUAGAAAGAAGGCCCCUACAAAAAAUCCGCUAGAAAGAAGGCCCCUACAAAAAAGUCCGCUAGAAAGAAGGCCCUUACAAAAAAGUCCGCUUGAGAGAAGGCCCCUACAAAAAAGUCCGCUAGAGAGAAGGCCCCUACAAAAAAGUCCGCUAGAAAGAAGGCCCCUACAAAAAAGUCCGCUAGAAAGAAGGCCCUUACAAAAAAGUCCGCUUGAGAGAAGGCCCCUACAAAAAAGUCCGCUACAAAGAAGGCCCCUACAAAAAAGUCCGCUUGAGAGAAGGCCCCUACAAAAAAGUCCGCUGCUGGAGGAACGAGUGUGAAAACUACAAGGGCAAAAAACAAACAAAAAACAAAAAAAGGAAGCCUGCUACAAUAAAAGCCCAAUGGUGGAGGAACGAGGCGAAAAAAAAUCACGUUUUUGAACCAAAUCCUCGACACAUAAUUUCAAACUCGCCGGCCUGCUCCUCUGAACUUCCUUAGGCUAGUGAGAAGUUGGGACACCUCGCCAGCCUAAACGAGAACUCGCCCGACAAAGCAUCGUCUGCGGCCGCCGGAAAUGUCAAGACAAUUCAUUCCUCGCACCUAAUCCUGUCAAACCAAAGCCUAAA